UAAAUUAUGUAAUUAUUAAAUUAAAUGUCACCUUGACGUUUUUUCUCUUAAAUUUAUAAUUUUGUCUAAAUUUAUAGUGAUGAAUCCAUAUUUAAAAGAAAUCUUCAUUGGAGCUGUGUUUAUCAGUUUUAUUUUUACAUUAUUUAGUACUAUUUGUCGUGGAAGACGUUGAAAAACCGAAAAUUCCAAAUCACUUCUCAAAUAUGAACAUUCGUGAUGUGUGUAUUACUGGCCUCAUCAUGCUCAUCGUCUACAACGUAAGCAGACAUUACUGGCAAUCAAAAACAAAGUAAUCAAUCAUUUCACAAGAUCAUUACAGCAUUUCGAGGGAAACAGUAGUGGCAGUGGUGAUGAUCGCUAAAGAAAACCAUCUUUGUGCGUUAAAAAAUCUGUGUCAAGUAGAAACAUCUACGGCCCUUCAAAUGGCGGAGCUGUAUAAUUCUCAUCAUCAGUGGCACAUUCAGCUUCCCAAUCGACAGGAAUCACAUUGGAUGUCAAUUUAAUUAUAUCUUCAAGUGGGCAGAACAUUUCACAGCCUGGUAACUGGUGUUGUAUAUACUCUGCAGUUGAGUUUUUAGUAAAGAUCUAAAAAAUACAAAAAAUAUAAUGUAUAAUCAAUUUAAAUUUGAUUUAAUUGCAAAUAAUAUGGAAGGUUUUUAUGAUAAAAAUGAAAAUUAACUUUGA